rnacentral:rRNA from 1 species
UGUAUGCUGAUCGGUAUGUAUAGUUCUUUUAUUGAAGAAAAAAAAAUAGUGGAAAAACUAUCUUGACAUUAUUCAAUGAAUAAGCCCCGGCUAAUUAUGUGCCAGCAGCCGCGGUAAUACAUAAGGGGCGAGCGUUAUCCGGAAUUAUUGGGCGUAAAGGGUGCGUAGGCGGUUUGAUAAGUCUAUAGUUUAAAUGCAGUGCUUAACGCUGUAGCGCUAUAGAAACUGUCUGACUAGAGUUAGAUAGAGGCAAGCGGAAUUCCAUGUGUAGCGGUAAAAUGCGUAAAUAUAUGGAGGAACACCAGAGGCGUAGGCGGCUUGCUGGGUCUUAACUGACGCUGAGGCACGAAAGCGUGGGGAGCAAACAGGAUUAGAUACCCUGGUAGUCCACGCCGUAAACGAUGAGUACUAAGUGUCGGGUUUCGGCUCGGUACUGAAGUUAACACAUUAAGUACUCCGCCUGAGUAGUACGUACGCAAGUAUGAAACUUAAAGGAAUUGACGGGACCCCGCACAAGCGGUGGAUCAUGUUGUUUAAUUCGAAGAUACACGAAAAACCUUACCAGGUCUUGACAUAAUUUUGCGACAUUAUAGAAAUAUAAUGAAGGUUAUCAGAAUUACAGGUGGUGCAUGGUUGUCGUCAGCUCGUGUCGUGAGAUGUUAGGUUAAGUCCUAAAACGAGCGCAACCCUUGUCGUUAGUUGCGACCACGUAAUGGUGAGCACUUUAGCGAGACUGCCAAUGAAAAAUUGGAGGAAGGUGAGGAUUACGUCAAAUCAUCAUGCCCCUUAUGAUCUGGGCUACAAACGUGAUACAAUGGCUGUUACAAAG